ACCCACCCUCUAAGUGCCUGUAACUGGGGAGUCGGGGUGAAUGGACGGAGUCUCACUCUGUCGCCUAGGCUGGAGUGCAAUGGCACACCAUCUCGGCUCACUGCAACUUCCGCCUACCGGAUUCAAGUGAUUCUCUUGCCUCAGCCUCUCCUGCAGCUCCACCACCACUCCCGGCUAAGUUUUGUAUUUUUAGUAGAGACGGGGUUUCGCCAUACUCUCGACUUUCUGACCUCAGGUGAUCCACCCGCCUCGGCCUCCCAAAGUGCUGGGCUUACAGGCAUGAACCACCACUCCCGGCGAGAACUUUUGAGUAAUAAUUUUUCACCAUGCAUCGGAAAAAGGUGGAUAACCGAAUCCGGAUUCUCAUUGAAAAUGGAGUAGCUGAGCGGCAAAGAUCUCUCUUUGUUGUAGUUGGGGAUCGAGGAAAAGAUCAGGUGGUAAUACUUCAUCACAUGUUAUCCAAAGCAACUGUGAAGGCUCGGCCUUCAGUGCUGUGGUGUUAUAAGAAAGAGCUGGGGUUUAGCAG
rnacentral:sRNA from 1 species